ensembl:snRNA U6 U6 spliceosomal RNA
GUUUUAGUAUAUGGCACACAUAUACUAAAAUUGGAACAAUGCAAAGAAUAGCAUGACCCCUACACAAGGAUGACCAAUUCUUAAAGUAUUCUAUAGUUUU